UGCCCCUGGCAAUAGGCAGAGAGACACCUUAUUGGUGGUGGUGUUCUUAUAGAGAGGGGACAGAGCCAAUGGUCAUCCUUUGCUCAUCCUAACUUAGUACCUGGCUUGGUGACCAAAGCUGUUUUAUUCCUAGGGCACAUUA